GCCCCCGUAGCUUAAUGGAUAAAGCAGGGCUCUUCUAAGGCCUUGAUGUAGGUUCAAUUCCUGCCGGGGGUACCA
rnacentral:tRNA from 1 species